CGCAGCCCUUCUACCUCUUUUUUUGCGCGUGCGUGCAGCUCCUAUGCUCAGCCUAAGAGGUGGAGGGGCCGUGCGGAGUGUGGGCCCGAGGGUCCAUAGAUGACGUAUCAGUCUAUAGGCAUUUAUUCUACUGUUCGAGGAAAACAAAUAAGGGUGCAGCUUAGGCGAAAAGAAAAACAUCUUAUUGCCAAUGUCUAAACUCCAACGGAAUGUGUCUGAGACCGUGUGUAUGGAUACACGUGUACUUGAAACAGACCCGCCUGUGUGUACAGCUCUUGCUGUAAGUCAACGCUUUACCGGAGCUAUCGCACUUAAGCCUCAGAACAACUUUAUGAGAUGAUUUCUCAGAAGUGGGAAUAGCAGUUCCCAAAAGGUCUACUUCUAACAGGCUUGUUUAUGUGCAUUCUUAUUCUAUCCUGGAUUGGAAUCAGAAAAUUGGACAGUGUUGCAGGUUCUGACUGAUGCAGGCACACCGACAGUGAUUAAAGUGAGAACUGUGUCCUGUGAUGUACAACUCCCAUGGGCAACAUUUACAUUGUAAUGUAUGUAAAUGGAAUUUCCUGAAGCACAAUUAAGAGGCUACAGAAUGUAUCUUCCAGAAGGGCAGGCCUAUAUCUUUUUGCUUACUCCAACUCCCUUCUAGCAAGUGUUUGACACAUAAAAGAUGUUCAAUAAGUACUGGUGAGUGAAUUAUUAAAUCAUAACUACUACAAAGCAGUAAUCCUUAUUUGGUUUGGCUCGAUUUCUUCUGGAGGUUUUCCCAAGUUUUGUGAUUCCAUCACCAUUCUCAAUUAAUUUUAGAAUUGGGUGAACGUGCUCUAUUCUUCAUAUGCUCUGAAGUUCAUUCUAGCACAAUUGAACUGUUUUAUAAUAUUAAUUUUGGUACUCUUAAACUCUUGUGCCAAAUUUGCUAAAUUUGGGAAUGACCUUGAUCUGUAAUUUUAUUUAGGUUUUUAUCCACAGAUGAAUGUGUAAUUCACCACCAUGAAUUAGUGGUGUGCAUGUGAAAUUAAACUGAUGAUGAGUCAGGAGGCAACACUGUUGGGUGAGCAAAUUUGGAAAUAGGAAAAAAGAGAUGGUAAUACCUUGAAAAAUAGAAGUAUAAGGCUGAAAUAAGUAUACAUAUAAACUUCUAUCUCAAAUUAAGUGUAAGUUUCAAACCUGAUAAAAAGAAGUAACUAAUAUUUUGAAGAGUGGAUUUUUCCUUAAAGGUAAGAUAUUAAAAUAAAAACGAAGCAAAACAAAAACACUGAGCCUAAAUUUAAACAUUAAUCUCAAUUUUAAAAGGUAGGCCUCAUACCUUUUCCUCCUUAGGUUUAUUUUCAAUACAAAUAUAUGUAGAGAAUUAAAAGAGAUAUAUUUUUUUUUAACAGCAAAAUUUUUACCAGAUGAAGAAGCUUAAAAAUGUUGGCCUUGUAGUCUAUUUCUAGGAAUUCAUCCUAAUUUAGGAAAUAAUCUGAAAUGCUAAAAUAGAUUUAUGCAUAAAAAGUUCAUAGCAACAUUAUUUAUAAGAAAGUAAGGAAAAUAGCUUAAAUGACCACUUAAGGAAACACUACUCCACACAAGGAUCAUUAUGCAGCCAUUGAAAAUGUUUUUAAAGAGUUUUAAAUAACUUGAGGAAACAUUUCUGAUAAAUCGUUAUGAAAAAAAAGACAGUGUGCUCAAGCAAACAGUUUAAACUUCAUAAGCUUAAAAAACUGCGUGGAAAUAUGUCAACCAAUAGUCAGUUACCUCUAAAUAAAGGAAUUAUUGGUUAUUUUUUUCUUGCUGUCUCUUU